CUUAGACAAGUUUCGCCAGGUUUGGGAAGUGUUAGAAGACGGAAGAUCUGAAAAUGCAUAGAAUCUCAGUUCUGACAUGAGAGAAAAGGCAUGUUACCCAUCUCAUCACUGACAGAUGUAAGACUGAACAAGACAGAGGCAAACCCACUAAAGGAUUUCGAUGUGGAAAAAAACAUGUGACUAGCAGAGGGGAAACAUGAAUCUCCCGUGAGUGCCAAGAAUCCGCAUCUGCAACCAUCAGCACAGCCUGGAAAUCAGCUCUGCCUGCUUCUUUAAAGAGUUCUGGAAUUAUAAGCAUCUCAUACAGAAAUAAAUGCAGAGACAUUUUAAAAGGAGAGUACUGGGAAUGUCGGUGUCACCUUUCUGCUGGUGGUUGCCUCCCCACAUCUGGGUUGCAGAAGUGGACAUGAACCAUUUCCUUAAGCACAGCAGCUCACAGCUGGGUGCCGACCAAAGACCAAAGUGGAUGUUGUUCAACGCAUCCAGCUGUGAAUUACAGAAGCCAAAUGCUGGCCUGAACUUGCUGAGUCUGUGAAAAAUCUGAGGGUGGAAAAAAAUCUUACACUUUCUGUUGUAUCUUUCCUUACAGAUUAUAGAGGAUUUUCAUCUUUACCCACUAGGAUUUUUUGGUGGUGGGCACCAUUAUUCUCAAACCAGUAACUAAGUGGGAAUUGUGUUUUGUCUAGAGUUUGUACUGGAACAUGCGUCAUACUAACACAGAAUUUUAUAGGCUGGUGUUUAGGAGAACAGGGCAAAUGAGGGAGAAAGAUCAAAAAUGAAAUAGUGAAAAAUUGAACAUGCAAAUGAGAAGUUCAUGCCAGAAGCAGAGCUUUUCAAAACCGUACUUGAGAAACAGGGAAGCACACUGCACCCACAGCGUGCACAGUAGGCUAUAAAAAGAGCUGUGCAGCAUAAGUGGAAAUAAGGC